rnacentral:rRNA from 1 species
GAUGAACGCUGGCGGCGUGCCUAAUACAUGCAAGUCGAGCGAACGGACGAGAAGCUUGCUUCUCUGAUGUUAGCGGCGGACGGGUGAGUAACACGUGGAUAACCUACCUAUAAGACUGGGAUAACUUCGGGAAACCGGAGCUAAUACCGGAUAAUAUUUUGAACCGCAUGGUUCAAAAGUGAAAGACGGUCUUGCUGUCACUUAUAGAUGGAUCCGCGCUGCAUUAGCUAGUUGGUAAGGUAACGGCUUACCAAGGCAACGAUGCAUAGCCGACCUGAGAGGGUGAUCGGCCACACUGGAACUGAGACACGGUCCAGACUCCUACGGGAGGCAGCAGUAGGGAAUCUUCCGCAAUGGGCGAAAGCCUGACGGAGCAACGCCGCGUGAGUGAUGAAGGUCUGCGGAUCGUAAAACGCUGUUAUUAGGGAAGAACAUAUGUGUAAGUAACUGUGCACAUCUUGACGGUACCUAAUCAGAAAGCCACGGCUAACUACGU